UUUUCAUAGCUGUUAGGGGCACUUGGAAUUUCGUAUGGAAACAGGCAACGCCGGUACAUGGAAGUACCGGCGAGGCGCAGAUGAACAUGGAUGUGAAUUUGCGUCGGUUGCCGGAUAAAAAAGAAUACAAUCCGAAAUUCUUAGUGCCCCUUGCAGACAUUAUGN
rfam:Roseburia sp. CAG:45 genomic scaffold, scf88